GGGGGCGACAUGGCUUCGACGCCGGUGACAAUCCCUGAGGUGCAUGCCGAGAGCGUAACGUAUCUCGUAAAUCCAACGUUACGAUUAAAUAGUCGCAAACGACGAAAACUACGCUCAAGGCGCACUGGCAGCCUAAGAACUGCUAGCUGUUGUCUGGCCUCGAAGCGAUGUGCCCAUUCAUCGCGGAGAGGAUAUGAGCUAAAGCUGAUGGGACCGCGUAUGUCAGCGCUCUCCUGACAUGCGUUAAACCUUAGAGAGAUCGCAAGGUGUCAUCCUGCCCGUCGGAGGUCACUGCGCUAAAUCAAAAGACGGAACUAAGCAUGUAGAGCCGAUGGGUGAGUGCCGGCGGACGGGGGUUCAAUUCCCCCCGCCUCCACCA
rfam:Gammaproteobacteria bacterium MFB021 Contig-111, whole genome shotgun sequence.